ensembl:miRNA pma-mir-126 pma-mir-126
UGCCCCCGCGUUAUUUCCCGGGGUACGCGCCGCGCUCUGUCGCCUCGUACCGUGAGUAAUAACGUGGGGUCC